GCAAGGGCAAAGAUGAACUUGAACGCAUUUCUAGAACUUUCUAAAACACACUUUUUUUUUUUAUUACACAGUCCUUUACCGGUUCUCUCACAGCCUUAACAAAAGGAACAGAUUGCUUCUUCACAUCCACUGAUAUAUCCUCUGUCACACCCACUUUGGUAGCGAAUGCAAUCACGUGUCCUCCAAUCCACAACUGAAACGUCACCUACCACAGUAGGGCGAUGACUUGUGGUAUUGUGGCUCGGCCCCCUUUACGUGGUGGCUGGCUUCCGACCCUGGGAAUUAACUGGCAAACCAUCCAGUCCGAGGCACUCUGUUUCCCUUAUACAACACCCUCACAGGUCGGGAGGGAGAUUUAUAACCAAGAUUCAUUCUUUCUCUGUCACAAGGACCCGUUGGGCAUGUCAUAUGAGCUGUUCCAUUUCGUAGUUACAUUCUGGAAUGCUCAACAAUUUCUGCUUUUCACACAAAAUGCUGAAAGUGUUAGGACUACCAUUAAAAAAUGAUGCAAUCCUCCUCGCCCUACCGAAGAGCCGUGCAGCAAUUUGUCGUAACUUUCGCAGCACCUAUUUGUAACUUAAAUACUUACAAAUACACGACUGUUACCUGUGCUUUUAUUCUUUUACAUGUGUUACUUUAUUUUUUUUAAUUAGAUCAAAACAGACAGUUUAUUAAACCAUAUUCGCUUAUAUGUAGGAGAUAUCUUAAAUGAACAGUUUUUGCGUUAAAGCCCUAGGGAAUGCUCACAUGAUCACAUGUGCUCCUGUACAGGCAGUACAGUAUGAAUGCAAGCAAAAAGAAAGUCUGCAACAGUUGAAAAAAAAGUGUUUGUCAGUGAAAUAGACCAUGCUAGCAUAUUUUUGUUUGAAACUGUAAGUAUACACAGGUAUGCCUGGGCUCGCUCUUGUUUUCCAACUUUAUUUACCAUGAAAUUGUGUAAAUGCACCGGUCAGUCUGCAAAGUUUGCUGGACUUGAUUUUUUUGUGUAAGCGAUUUACUGUAAAACAUUUCUCCCUGUUCUAUACACGAAUAUAAAUUUGCCAUUAAAAAAGAAUGCUAGUUAUAUUACGUUUCUGCCAUUUCAGAUCGGUAUGUUUAUGAAAUAAAAAAAAAAAUGAAACGCUGUUUUUAUGGCUUUUUUUAAUUGCCUUCAUAAUUAAGCCACUAGAACUACAUUUCUGUUUUUUUAUUUUUUAUGAUUUGGUUGCAAUUGACAGCAUAUUUUUUAAAGCUCUCGUCGCGAUUUAGGUGUUAAUUAUUUUCAAUAUUAACUCGCAAAUUGUGUGUUUUGGUGGGAACACUAGAUAUAGCACCGGGGACGCUCCACCCCCCUAAUUGUAAAAAGCUUCCGCUACCACUGGAGAAUAGGGUGUAUGUACUGUAAUGCAUAAGACCGAUUAUACCAGAUAUGUACAUUCAGUUCAGUGUGUUUUCUUGUUACCGUUUCAGUAUUUAAAUUUUGCUGAAUAUUGGUUUUUGCUGUUAAUAUGCAUUUGAUGUUUGUUUCAUUUUGUUUUUACUUCACUGUUUUACAAUUCAUGCCUUAUUAUGUUUUUGUGCUGAAUUUUCACUCAUUUUCUGCUCAUUUGCCAUGCUAGAGACCUUAUAUACAUAGGUAGAUAAAAGCAAGAGAAAUUCCAGUACAUAACUGGGACAAAGAAGAAGAGGUAGCUGUAAUUUUCUCACAGUGAAAGCCGGGAUGAAAAGGAGAAAAAUACCCCCUGCUGAGUAAUACAAUGCACUAAAUGAAACCCCUGACAUGGAGAAUGAAGAUGAUCUUGACAGUUUCCCUGAAAUUAGAACCGACACGCUAAGCCUUUAACCAAAAUCCACAAAUUAGAAACUGAGCUGAAAUAUGAACGCAGGUGUAGAGUCAAUGCAGAGAAGGAACUAAGACAGUGGAAAGAAAUGAACAUUCUCAUGGCACAAAUGAAAGGGACUGCGAAUGAACUCAAAUCAGUUUUGACAUAUGCCAAAGUUGGACUUGAAAAACCCCAAAACAAAACCAAUGUGACGACUCCAUAUGUAGAAAACCACAUCGUGGAAGACGCGUUUGGAAACCAUUCAAAGGAAGAUCACAUUCUUGAGCUUCCUGGUGGGCUUCAAGUGCAGAAGACUUUGUACAACAGAAUUUCAGCAACAGACUUUAAAAAGUACACCUCAGAACUUUUGAUGGCAGUCUUCAAUAGAGAAACUCUGGCCACGCAUUCUCUUCAAGGAAGGAAAUCCUCCAAUGGAAAAGAGGAUCACCAAAAACCACCGCUGCCCUCGGAAGCAUUGGCAAAUUUAAUAGAGCACAUCAAAAUCAAAUUUGGAGUUGACGCAAGCCUGAUUAGAGCUGCCAUAAGGAUGAAGUUAAAUAACGAGGAUAAAAUGUUAAAAAAGAGACUGAACACUUUUUUAAACAUGUAGGUUGAAGAAGAGCGACGUGUUUUUAUGUCAAAGUGUGGUGAAUCAUACUGGACACAUUCAAAAACGCAAAUGUGACUUCACACACAGAUGAUAAGAAUCUACCCUUUCUGCACGGUUUCUAGGUAUAUGCAGGGGAGUACACCAGUUAACUAAUUGUAAGAAUCCUCAUUUUUGUGACUGUGAAAUACUUAUUUAAUUCCCGGAAUUUAUAUCAGUUAUAUAUUCAAGACUUCCAACUUAAACUAGAGAGCAUCUUUUUAUAUAGUAUUUAGAAGCUUGGCAUGCAUAUUAAGUACAUGUUAUUGCAUACCCUAACAUAUGUUGCAUGUUCAAUAAAAUGUGUCUUUCUGGAGUCAAAACAAUGUUUUACAUUUUUUUUAUUUAUUUAUGCAUAUAAAUUUGAUUCUAACUUGUAUUCCCGUUCUUCCUUUUUAGAUUGAGACUGACAAGUGGCGAGUUUGCAUUUAGUCAUGUUGCUGAUGAUUGCUAUGUUGUGCGUAGUUGAUUACAAGACAAUAUAUGUUUCUGCUUUUUACAUUAUAUAAGAGCAAAGUAAAACCAUGUAUUACCUUUUAAUCAAUUGUAGCACACUGUAUUUCAUUAUUGAUUUUGUAAGUAGUAGGCUAUACGGUGUAAGCCACAGCUGGAUUGAUUUGGGAAUGUUAUAGCACAGCUAAGGCUGCACUUUGUUAUAUGCAGAAUGUAUUCAGGAAAUGCUUGGUUUAUGUGGCUGUCAAUAAUAAAGGUAAUAUUUAUUACAUAUGACUGACUCUGUGUGACUUUCUGGGUGACAUUCCGGGAGA